CCCAGAUCAUGGGCACCAUGAAUGGCUCAUACUGCUGGACAAAGACAAUAUAUCAUUCGUUGUGGGGUCCCCAAUAACUGGCAGAGUUUUUGAGUGGAAAGGAGGAAAAAUGGAUGGAUGGAUGGACGACACUCACAGACUGUCAGACCGACACCUGAGUUUUGAGGAACAGUGGUUGCUGCAGCGAACCGCCACGAGGGGGCAAUGUGGAGCAGCUUUUCAAGGUCGUCUGAGACUCUUCCACCAGACCAUGGCUGGUGUUUGGAAGAAUGCUAGCAUGGUGAUGAAGCUCCCUCCCUCCCUUCCUGGCCAUCCACACACUGUCGUAGCAGGCUCCUGAGGUCCGAGUUUUAGAUGGCAGAGGGAAAUAUCCAGAGUGCACAUGAAACCUCAAAAUUUCCUUUCCAUUCAU